rnacentral:lncRNA from 1 species
AGAAACCUUCCAUCAUCACCUAUCGACACAUCUAACUUCUGUUCCAUUAUUCCUUAUAAGUCGCGAGCUAGAAUGUUUUUAACUUUAAACUCGAUUUUCUCAAAACUUGAAUUUUGGACUUGUAUUACUUUUCACCGACGGUCAAAGACCUUGUAUAUUCUAUACAAGGUCUUUGCCGACGGUACAGAAUUUUCCUUUUAUUCUACUCGCAUAAUAAUUUAAUAAUAUGGUGUAUAGUAGUGUUGCCGCGAUAGUGCUCUAUCGAUAGUUUUCGAUCGAACUAUCGAUAGUUUUGUACGAUCGAUAGGGUCCUUAAUUCCGAUAGUAUUGUAAAAAAAAUCCCAUCCACUCAUUUAACAGUUUUUUUUUUAGUAUCGAUGCUAUCGUUGCUUAUCAAUAGUAUCGCCAAAAACGUGUUAUCGAUAGGCCUAUCCGUUGGGUAGAUGAUUUAUCAAAAUAAUAAUAUUAAAUUAAUAUCCCUAACUUGAAAUUUAAUUCUAAUUUAAAAAAAAGGUACCGCCUGUCUGACCUUCCAACCCCCGAAGGGAAAACCAGCACCAAAGACCAAGUAUUAGAAUCAUUGAAAUACUUGGUCCUUGGUUGCGAGAAUUUCGAUUAGUGUUGCCAAUCGAUAGACAACUAUCCUAUAUAUUAAGAUAUAUGUAGAAGUGAGGAUCGCGACCACAGGUUAUGGUUUUCCACUUGGUACGGCUAUAUGCUGCGUGCACCGCCCUCUGUAUGCUGCCGCCCACCGUCUUCUUCAUGAUGUCAGAUCACCUCGUAGGCGCCCUUCCUCGCGCACGUUUGCCAUCUAUUUGCCCAAAGAUGAUCUGCUUCUCCAGACUGUGCUUCGGAGACCGCAUAAUAUGUCCGAAGAAGCUUAGGGCACGAUUCCGGCAUAUUGAGGAGAGCCGCGUCGUGAUCUUGAGCUCUUUUAAUAUGGACUCAUUCGUACACGUAAAAAGCCUUAAAUUACCAAGUAGAGAAAGUCCGGCAUGAGGUGAGCACGAAGUUUUGAAGACAGGAGUGAUUGUAUUAGAUUUCCUCCUGAGCAGUUGCACUACAAAUUUAGUGAUGAAGAGGCAAUACUUGACAGAAACCUUAAGUGGGAUGACAUAAUUAUAAAGAAAAUCAAUAAGAGGAUGAACUCUUUUAAUGUUUAUAAAACAAUAGUAUGGAAGAAUUUUCAUGCAUCUUGGAGCAAUGGCAACAUAUUUGGGAGUUGUGAGUGACAACGAGCAGAUUACAUAACAAUGGGAGGAUAACAAGGGCCUUAACUGAAAAAACUGGUGAAUGUUCCCAAAUAAACCUCACAGAUGUAGAAGAAACACAAAAUAAAUUUGUUUAUUUAUUUUAUUUCUGUUCCCUACUAAACUAGUAAUAAAACAUACUUUUUACAAAUA